GGCAGAGUAGGUGCUUGUACGAGAGAAGUAGAUAGAUAGAUAGAGAGAGAGAGAGAGAGAGAGAGAGAGAGCGAGAGAAAGAGAGAGAGAGAGAGAACGAGAGCGAUAGAGAAGAAAGCGAGAAGGGAGCGCGUGAUCACGUGUGAUCUAGGAAAGACGUUGCGUCACCACUAGUAAGCGCAUCACAGUAGAACGUUAACGCGCAAGCAGCAGACGCACACGCGCACGCACGCACGGACAAGCAGUCAGUCACACGCGCGCACGCACGGACUAGCAGUCAGUCACACGUUUGCAUACGGACAAGAAGCAGACAAACGCGCGCACGCAAGGACUAGUAGUCAGUCAGCGCCGCGGUACGGGAAUACGGUGCAAGCUCGACGAACCUCUAUCAGACAACAGCAACAACAGAUAGCAACAGGCAGUAACAGGCAGUAACAGCAGGCGACAUCGAGCCGUCAACAUGCUAGCGAGCGCAGUCCGAGCCGCCACCGUGCUAGUGUGCGUCGUACUGCUGAUGGUGACAAGAGCUGCAGCAGAAGCAGAAGACGCCAUAUACUACGACGCGGACAUGGAACCCUUGCGACAGCUGUCUAACAUGCGCAAGAGACCCUUCUGUAACGGCUUUGGUGGUUGCCGAGGUGCGUUCGGUUCGAAACGGGGCACGGAUGACGUCACCGACUCCGCGGAUCCGGAUUUGGCAAAUGACGUCAGCGGACGCCUGCGCGAAGCGGUUAUAUGGAGGAUUCUCGGCCAAAAACUGCGAGAGCUACAGGCAAUGGAUCACAACGAAGAACGGGAGAUGGAAGAGUCCGCGCCAGCGCAGAAAUUUUCAGAAGGGCACCUAAGAUUUUUUCGGUAAAGAUCCCCUAAAGUUUGAACAGACUGUAAGAUAACAUCCAUCGCUAUAAAGCAGCAGGAGGAGCGAAUUUUCUGCAGAGGGUUCUUCGACUGCAUGUCAAGGAGAAGAGCGAGGAGGUCGACGAGGCAACGGUUCGCUGUCGCCGAGGCGAAAUGAUUCCGCGUCGGCUGCACUCAUCUCUUCCACAUUCCGCUAGACUUCGCUAGAGCCUGCCGUUUCCAACAUGGCGCCCGCCGUUACGGUCAGCGAAUGUAAUCCAUCGGCGGAGGCGGGAAACAACCUGCGAUGGAAAUCUCCCAAACGCGCGCGCGCACACACACACACACACACACACACACACACACACACACACACACACACACACACACACACACACACACACACACACACACUUAUUUACGGGGAUUUCUGAAUUGCAAUGAAAAUACAUAAGCAUAGAUGUACGUGGGAGCUCAUAAGCAUUACCCGUGUCAACGGGGUGCGGUCUUCGGGGUGAGUGUAGUAAUCUGCGAGUAAUUAAUGGUAAAAAAAACCUUCAAAGUCAAACUUAAAGGGCAACUACUGAUCAACUACUAGCAAACGGAUCACGAUUCUGUUGUGUUCUAACUUUCAAAUCACGCCCGGCAUGCUUUUGCUAUCAACAGUUUAAACGGUUGCAGUCAAUAAUUAAAAAUUAACGAAUAUUAUACGAGUAAAUCCGAAAAAACGUCUGACUGUCUAAGAUUAUUUAGACUCUAAGUAGAAGGGGUUUCAAUUAUAUAAAUAUCAAGUGUAUCACGAUUUUAGAAUAAUAUAUGGGCCUAUCUGUCUGGCUCUUGUGUCGCUUAGUACUGACGUCCUGAUUAUAGUGAAUGUAUAAUACGAAACGUUUCCGUUUUAUUUUGAUAUAAAAAUCAAUAUAUCAAAGCUGAUAGGCUUCAAAUUUGGAUAUUAAUAUCAAAUAAACACACUGGAUAUUUCCAGUUCAUGUA